UCCUCGGUAGUAUAGUGGUGAGUAUCCCCGCCUGUCACGCGGGAGACCGGGGUUUGAUUCCACGCCGGGGAG
rfam:Nematostella vectensis strain CH2 x CH6 NEMVEscaffold_9_Cont1965, whole genome shotgun sequence.